rnacentral:tRNA from 1 species
UGUUAAGGGAUGGGAAUCGAACCCACAGUGUUCCGCUUACCGAGCAGAUGCCAUGUCCACUAGGCUACCCUGGAC